rnacentral:rRNA from 1 species
GACCAGACUCCUACGGGAGGCAGCAGUGGGGAAUAUUGCACAAUGGGGGAAACCCUGAUGCAGCGACGCCGCGUGAAGGAAGAAGUAUCUCGGUAUGUAAACUUCUAUCAGCAGGGAAGAAAACAGACGGUACCUGACUAAGAAGCCCCGGCUAACUACGUGCCAGCAGCCGCGGUAAUACGUAGGGGGCAAGCGUUAUCCGGAUUUACUGGGUGUAAAGGGGGCGCAGACGGCAGCGCAAGCCAGGAGUGAAAGCCCGGGGCCCAACCCCGGGACUGCUCUUGGAACUGCGCGGCUGGAGUGCAGGAGGGGCAGGCGGAAUUCCUGGUGUAGCGGUGAAAUGCGUAGAUAUCAGGAGGAACACCGGUGGCGAAGGCGGCCUGCUGGACUGCGACUGACGUUGAGGCCCGAAAGCGUGGGGAGCAAACAGGAUUAGAUACCCCCGUAGA